UAUCGACUGACCUAGCAGACUCGCCAAGACGAUAGAAUUUUAUUAAGGAGACUUAAUAUG
rnacentral:ncRNA from 1 species